GGUAUGGGAUGAGCUUGCGUCCGAUUAGCUAGUUGGCGGGGCAACGGCCCACCAAGGCGACGAUCGGUAGCCGGCCUGAGAGGGUGAUCGGCCACAUUGGGACUGAGAUACGGCCCGGACUCCUACGGGAGGCAGCAGUAGGGAAUAUUGCACAAUGGGGGAAACCCUGAUGCAGCAACGCCACGUGUGGGAAGAAGCAUUUCGGUGUGUAAACCACUGUCGUGAGGGAAUAAGGCUAUUUUUCGGAGUAGUUGAAUGUACCUCGAGAGGAAGCACCGGCAAACUUCGUGCCAGCAGCCGCGGUAAUACGAGGGGUGCAAGCGUUGUUCGGAAUCACUGGGCGUAAAGGGAGCGCAGGCGGAAGCUCAAGCGGAUUGUACAAUACCGGGGCCCAACCCCGGACCUGCAGUCCGAACUGGGUUUCUUGGAUAGUUCAGGGGCAGGC
rnacentral:rRNA from 1 species